GGGGAAAAAGGCCUCUUGCCUCUUUUGCCUUCCUCUACACAAAGGACGCUGUAGCCUAGCAGCACAUUUAGCUGGCAAACACAGAGGCAAGUGACUAGAAAUAAUCUGCUACUUCCCCAACAGACGGACCACAGCCCCUUUUUCUUUUCUCUCUCUCUCUCUCUUUUUUUUUCCCUCUGUCGUGUACCCUAACAGCUAACUAGAAAACCUAGUGACCAAAAAGUUAGGGACUGCAGCAUAGCAGAGUCAGGGAAAGGAUUGAUGACCAGUGGCUUGAGAGAAAGACACAGACACACACAUGGGAUUUAAACAGCCUCAGGUCGCCACCUAACCCACUAGAGAGAGGAAAUUGAAGGGCAACCUAGCAGCCUUGGGCUGUAUUUGCAGUGGGUGACAGCACCCCCCAACCCCACGCCCUGUUCUGCGGCAAGCUGUGAAACAGGAUAGAGAAGUGCCAGUGGGGGUGAAACAGGAGGCUGUGCAAAGACCGAGUGGAGCCAACUGUACACAGGACUGGGAGCAGCGCCGGGCUUUCCCUGCCUGAGGGCGCCACAGCAACCCAUGGUCCCAAAGAUGAGGACUCCAGUAAGGUACCCAGUGGAAGCGCCUCUCAGCAGGCAUCGGCCGACUUCAGGAGGCUCCUGAUCAACAGAAGCAAGACUGUACAGCUGGACCAUCUUCAAGGAGACUGGAAUUAGACUUCCUCUUUUGAUCUGAAGACCAUGAAAAAAUUUGAGGAUAUGUUUCUAAACCAUUACAGAAAUCUUCGAGAAGAAAUGGACAGCAAGGAAAGACACUGUGGAACAAAGUACACUGGCUGGAGAGGGAAAUAAAUUCACAUGAGGUUCGAUAUAAGCACCACUCUCUGGCUCUGAUGCCUCUUUGAUGUGGAGGGCAUGAUGAGCACCUGUGAUCCUAGCACCCCAGAGGCUGAGGCAGGAGGAUCUCCAUGAGUUCGAGGCCAGCCUGAACUGCAAAGUGAGACCCUGUCUGAAGAAAAUAACCAAAAUAAACAAACAAACAAGAAAGUGUCCUUUUUGUGAGUUGUAUACAAACGAUACACCUUUACCAAAAUAACUCAGAAAGGUUUAAAAAUAAAAGAUAAACCAAAGUACAUCAGAAAAUACCAAGUUGAAGCUGUAAUGUAACCAUCAACCAAACUUAUAUUAAAAUAAUGUUAUUGCUGGGUGUAGUGGUCCACACCUUAGGAGGCUGA
rnacentral:lncRNA from 1 species